ACUUAUUUAUGAGAUGUUAUGUAGAGAAUCUGCAAUGUUAGUGUACAAUAUGAAAGGUAUUUAUGUUUAUCGUCGUCAUUAACGUGUGUUAAAUAUCUUAUUUAACUUGAUUUUCUGUAGUUAAGUUAGCUAUUUAUAAAAGCACAAUAGCGCUUUCUGCCAAUUUAGUAUUACAUAUUAUAUUUGUCAUGAUUUCCACAGUCACAUUUCUCCAUAAAGGCAGAGAAUAUAAAAACAACUUUGAUUACAUUGAUUAAAUAUCCAAAUGAAUCCAAGUGCCCUCUUUGUAAAAAGCAAACAGACUACAACAUCCUGCUGCCUGCCUUCAGAGUCCUGAAGUCCACAUUGUCAAGUAUGCAGGUUUCCAAAGGACCAUUGAAUGGUGUCUCUGUAUUUCAUCCUCGAGGCCCCCUUCAAUUUUAAUGAGUCCUCUUUAGAAUGACAUGCCAGCUUUGAGGAAGUGCUGGUGAAGAAUGUUACUUGAGAACUCCAGCCUCAAGGGGUUUAGACUUUGUCUUCUCAUUAAUGGCUCAAUAGAGUAAAGACUUGGCACUACGUCUGAAAUGAAAAAAAAAUGUCUUGCUAUUCUGUUCCAUAGCACUGCGUUCUGCAGGUUUCAGGUCUUUACUUUUAGAAGAAAUGUCAGUCUCCUUUCUCCAACAUCCAGCACAGGUCACUGAUGAGCAGCAACACAGAAUCCUUCAGCAUCUUACCGAGGCAGAGAAGUGGUGUGCUAAGAACAUUUCAGGGGGCACAUCUCACUCCCUGCAUUACUGUCAAUGGACAAAGACGACAUUGAGGAGGCCCUUCAGAAAUCUGAUUUGCUAUCUGAAUUUCCAGAAGAAGACGAGAGGGAAUAUGUCCUUAGACCCUUCAUCAUCCUUUAUUUCACAUAUGGAAGACAUGCAUCUGUUUUUAGAUAAUGUGAGAGGAAAAAGGAAAAUGACUGUUUUGUCAAAAAAAGUAACAAACGUACAUUUGUUCA